UCUCCUCCAAUGGAUUUUCAGGAUAUGGAGUUCCUGACACAUGAGCCUAUAAUACUUAGUCCCCCCUACAACCCACUGCCAUGAAAUUCACUCAAGAAUUAAUCUAACAGGAAAUGCACUAGGUAAUUGGAGGUAGACAUUUUAACAAGUUCUGAAAGAAGAUGGAUCAGCUGCUGAUCUCUGAAGAAAGAAGAGAAGCUGAAGACCCCUGCAGACCUGGCUAUGGCACUUAUUAACAUAUGAAUAGAGUUCAAAAUGACUAGAAAUCAGGCAUAUGCAGAUAGAGACUCAAAAGAAAUUUCAUUUCACACUCACUGAAUUGGCAAUAUUUAUGAAAUAUGAUAAUAUAAAUUCCUAUAGAGGAAAUGGAUCAAUGGAACGCUUGUGCACCACUGCAAUUGCAUUCCUGUGUGUGUCUUGUGGAGACUGUUGCACAAGUGCAUCUAAAAUUAUUUACUAGAAUGGUCACAGCUAUACCACUAAGAAAAUAAAUCUGGAAACAAAGUAGGUAUUCAUCAACAAAGAAUGCAUA